UACGUAGGGUGCGAGCGUUGUCCGGAAUUACUGGGCGUAAAGAGCUCGUAGGUGGUUUGUCGCGUUGUCCGUGAAAACUCACAACUCAAUUGUGGGCGUGCGGGCGAUACGGGCAGACUGGAGUACUGCAGGGGAGACUGGAAUUCCUGGUGUAGCGGUGAAAUGCGCAGAUAUCAGGAGGAACACCGGUGGCGAAGGCGGAUCUCUGGGCCUUACCUGACGCUCAGGUGCGAAAGCUAGGGGAGCGAACAGG
rnacentral:rRNA from 1 species